rnacentral:rRNA from 1 species
CCUACGGGAGGCAGCAGUGGGGAAUAUUGCACAAUGGGGGAAACCCUGAUGCAGCGACGCCGCGUGAGUGAAGAAGUAAUUCGUUAUGUAAAGCUCUAUCAGCAGGGAAGAAAAUGACGGUACCUGAGUAAGAAGCCCCGGCUAACUACGUGCCAGCAGCCGCGGUAAUACGUAGGGGGCAAGCGUUAGCCGGAUUUACUGGGUGUAAAGGGAUCGUAGACGGGAUUGCAAGUCUGGAGGGAAAGGCGGGGUCUCAACCCCAGGACUGCACUGGAAACUGUACGGCUGGAGUGCAGGAGAGGUAGGUGGAAUUCUUAGUGUAGCGGUGAAAUGCGUAGAGAUUAGGAGGAACACUCGUGGCGAAGGCGACUUACUAGACUGUAACUGACGUUGAGGCGCGAAAGCGUGGGGAGCAAACAGGAUUAGAUACCCUAGUAGUC